UUUAAAUAGCCUCUGACCUCAGUGAGCUCAGAUUCUCACUGUGGAGAUGACCUCUAGCCCCCAAACAGAUCAGAGACCUGCUAUGUAGCACAUGG
rnacentral:miRNA from 1 species